UACGGGGGGAGCAAGCGUUGUUCGGAUUUACUGGGCGUAAAGGGCGCGUAGGCGGUCAGCACAAGUCAGUUGUGAAAUCUCCGAGCUUAACUCGGAAAGGUCAACUGAUACUGUGCGACUAGAGUGCGGAAGGGGCAACUGGAAUUCUUGGUGUAGCGGUGAAAUGCGUAGAUAUCAAGAGGAACACCUGCGGCGAAGGCAGCUCGCUGGGACGGUACUGACGCUGAGACGCGAAAGCGUGGGGAGCAAACAGG
rnacentral:rRNA from 1 species